rnacentral:sRNA from 1 species
AUGUACCGCUCGUACACUCCGAUUCCCAUGCGCCAUCCACACCCACCUGACGGCUGCGCGUUACGUUGCAUAGAU